rnacentral:lncRNA from 1 species
UUUGUCUUCAAAUCAUUCCUUGUAAUGUUAUUAGUCCAAAAACACAUGAAAUGUGAACAACAACAAUAAUCCGUCCAAAAACAAAGUGAAAACAUCAACAAAGUUUAUAGAAUAAGAAAAAAAAACUGAAACAAACGGCAUAUGUAUUAUGACAACAAGAUAAGUCGUUCAAUAAUAUAAUUCAUAUUCUAUGUUCAUUCUUAUUUUGUAAAGCUAAACAAGUCGUGCAAUAAUAUUCAGACACACACAAUUAUUCAGUUGUGUUCUGUUCUCACUUCUUCAAUCAACAAAAACAGUCUCUUUAAAGUUUAAACAUGUGGACAAACCAAAAAAAUCGACUAACUUCAAAAGGUUGCAAACAAAAUUACCUAACUUCUGAGCAUCAUACAAUCUGA